GUCUGCAUGGAGCCGACCUUGAAAUACCACCCUUUAAUGUUUGAUGUUCUAACGUGGACCCGUGAUCCGGGUUGCGGACAGUGUCUGGUGGGUAGUUUGACUGGGGCGGUCUCCUCCUAAAGAGUAACGGAGGAGCACGAAGGUUGGCUAAUCCUGGUCGGACAUCAGGAGGUUAGUGCAAUGGCAUAAGCCAGCUUGACUGCGAGCGUGACGGCGCGAGCAGGUGCGAAAGCAGGUCAUAGUGAUCCGGUGGUUCUGAAUGGAAGGGCCAUCGCUCAACGGAUAAAAGGUACUCCGGGGAUAACAGGCUGAUACCGCCCAAGAGUUCAUAUCGACGGCGGUGUUUGGCACCUCGAUGUCGGCUCAUCACAUCCUGGGGCUGAAGUAGGUCCCAAGGGUAUGGCUGUUCGCCAUUUAAAGUGGUACGCGAGCUGGGUUUAGAACGUCGUGAGACAGUUCGGUCCCUAUCUGCCGUGGGCGCUGGAGAACUGAGGGGGGCUGCUCCUAGUACGAGAGGACCGGAGUGGACGCAUCACUGGUGUUCGGGUUGUCAUGCCAAUGGCACUGCCCGGUAGCUAAAUGCGGAAGAGAUAAGUGCUGAAAGCAUCUAAGCACGAAACUUGCCCCGAGAUGAGUUCUCCCUGAGACUUAGAGUCUCCUGAAGGAACGUUGAAGACGACGACGUUGAUAGGCCGGGUGUGUAAGCGCAGCGAUGCGUUGAGCUAACCGGUACUAAUGAACCGUGAGGCUUAACCUUACA
rnacentral:rRNA from 1 species